rnacentral:rRNA from 1 species
GACGAACGCUGGCGGCGUGGAUUAGGCAUGCAAGUCGAACGGUAGGAUACCUUCGGGUAUCUGAGAGUGGCGAACGGGUGAGUAACACGUAGGUGAUCUACCCUCAAGAUUGGGACAACCCAGGGAAACUUGGGCUAAUACCGGAUGAAAGCAGCAGUGAUGUUGUUUGAAAGGUGGCGUAAGCUGCCGUUUGGGGAUGAGCCUGCGCUCUAUUAGUUAGUUGGCGGGGUAAAGGCCCACCAAGGCGAUGAUAGAUAGGCGGCCUUAACGGGUGGUCGCCCACACUGGGAUUGAGAUACGGCCCAGACUCCUACGGGAGGCAGCAGUCGAGAAUAGUCUACAAUGGCCGAAAGGCUGAUAGUGCGACGCCGCGUGAACGAAGAAGCCCUUCGGGUGUAAGUUCUUUUAUAUGUGAGCAGUGCUUUCUAUGUGAACAGCAUGGGGAGAGAGAUAUUAGCAUAUGAAUAAGCAACGGCUAACUCCGUGCCAGCAGCCG